UUUUCGUUCUCUUAGUUUUUUGUGUAGAUCCCACUUGGGCACUAGCGCUACCACUUGUGGUGUAAUAUCUUUCACUUGUUGACCAUCAAUCCAUCUAUUAGAUAUAGAUUUCCUUGGCUGAUCUUCAUAGUGCAGUGCCAAUGGAAGCUACAAUCUUGCCACCUUGAUACACUAUUGUUUCAUUCCCUAACAUGGGGACAGUGUCUUUGGUGGAUGACAGGCUCGAUUCUGCUAUGGUUGCAAGACACAUACCUAAACAUAUAGUUGCAAAUAUUUGUGACCAUGUCAGUAAUAUGUGUGAGGAAAUCAUAAUAAAUUGUCACUGAUUUUGUACAAAGGUAUUUAGUUUAAAUACAUAAUUCUUUAAUCCAAAAAUUAAAUUCUAGACAUUA